UUCUUAUCAGUUGGUAGCACAGUUGUGAUGCUAAGUUGUAUCUUGCUUUUUAACCUAAACAUCAACUAUCUAAUAGUAUCUCAGCAGACUCUUCAUACAGGAAAAUGAAAUGGAGGCCAAAAGGGGAGGCCAGGAACCUCAGCAGUGAACUUACAAGAUGGAUGAUUACAAAAAUGUAUCUUCAGAGACCACUAAAUGUCAUCAAUUUAAUGCAUUACAGGAUGCAGGAGAAUCACUACCAGUCUUGGCAAACAGAUUCAAGCGAAGACACCAAGGAAAGUUCUACAAGUCACUAACCAAACAAUAAUACCACCAACAAAACAUCAAUGAAGUGAUGCUUUCCCAAGCCCUAAAGUACCUCACACAAGA